rnacentral:rRNA from 1 species
CCCUUAGAUGUUCUGGGCCGCACGCGCGCUACACUGAUGCAUUCAACGAGUUUCUUCCUGGUCCGAGAGGAAUGGGUAACCUUUUGAAAGUGCAUCGUGAUAGGGAUAGACUAUUGCAAUUAUUGGUCUUCAACGAGGAAUUCCUAGUAGACGUAGUUCAUCAGACUGCAUCGAUUACGUCCCUGCCCUUUGUACACACCGCCCGUCGCUCCUACCGAUUGAAUGCUCAGGUGAGCCAUUCGGACUUUCAUCAUGCGGGUUUCCAGUUUUGAUGAAGGAAAGUCUUGCGAACCUUAUCAUUUAGAGGAAGGAGAAGUCGUAACA